UAUUUACCCAGAAAUUCCAUUUGGGUAUUUUCCAAACACAAUUUUACAAAUUGGGUCGCCGGCAUUUGAGGCGGGUGAAGUGGGUCAGAUAAUUCUGGGUUGAUUUAGUUUGACACUUCGAAGAACAAGAAGAACAAGAGGAAGAACACGUUGAACAAGCACAAGAAACUGAGGAAGCAGCUUUGACGACAGAUUUGGAUGGUUUACUCGGAGGUGCGAGCAGUAAGCCGAGGAAUAAGAAAGCUUUUCAAGACCACAAAAACAACAAGAUCUACCACAAUAAAAAAAAUUUAAAAUAACAGAACUUUUGUUGAACUCUGGAAAGUGUUCUAGCCGCAGAGUGCUGACCAAAAAGGAAAAAGAAGGCCUUUAUCCACUUUCCAUUCUACAUUCUUAUUACACUGCAAGCAAGAAAUAUCUCAUUAGAUUAUUUAUCAGUAAAUGGUUCUGUUUAAAUGGAUGCUUAAUUAUUUUCUUGCU